GACACGGUCCAAACUCCUACGGGAGGCAGCAGUGAGGAAUAUUGGUCAAUGGACGAGAGUCUGAACCAGCCAAGUAGCGUGCAGGAUGACGGCCCUAUGGGUUGUAAACUGCUUUUAUAAGGGAAUAAAGUGAGUCUCGUGAGACUUUUUGCAUGUACCUUAUGAAUAAGGACCGGCUAAUUCCGUGCCAGCAGCCGCGGUAAUACGGAAGGUCCGGGCGUUAUCCGGAUUUAUUGGGUUUAAAGGGAGCGUAGGCCGUGAGGUAAGCGUGUUGUGAAAUGUAGGCGCCCAACGUCUGCACUGCAGCGCGAACUGCCCCACUUGAGUGCGCGCAACGCCGGCGGAACUCGUCGUGUAGCGGUGAAAUGCUUAGAUAUGACGAAGAACCCCGAUUGCGAAGGCAGCUGGCGGGAGCGUAACUGACGCUGAAGCUCGAAAGCGCGGGUAUCGAACAGGAUUAGAUACCCUGGUAGUCCGCGCGGUAAACGAUGGAUGCCCGCUGUGGCGCGCCUGGCGUGCCGCGGCUAAGCGAAAGCAUUAAGCAUCCCACCUGGGGAGUACGCCGGCAACGGUGAAACUCAAAGGAAUUGACGGGGGCCCGCACAAGCGGAGGAACAUGUGGUUUAAUUCGAUGAUACGCGAGGAACCUUACCCGGGCUUGAAUUGCAGAGGAAGGAUUUGGAGACAAUGACGCCCUUCGGGGCCUCUGUGAAGGUGCUGCAUGGUUGUCGUCAGCUCGUGCCGUGAGGUGUCGGCUUAAGUGCCAUAACGAGCGCAACCCCUCUCCUUAGUUGCCAUCAGGUUAAGCUGGGCACUCUGGGGACACUGCCACCGUAAGGUGUGAGGAAGGUGGGGAUGACG
rnacentral:rRNA from 1 species